rnacentral:antisense_RNA from 1 species
AGGAGGGAAGGAAAUUGUAAUUCACAGUGAUGUUAUCAGCCAGCACCAUGCCUGGGAGAUCACCAGCGCAGGAGAGGUAUAAAAUGCUCCAGGGGCAAGGUUCUGAGAGGAUGCCCUGCCACUGUAUGAGGCCGCAACCUGCUGUGUAUAACCUCAUCUAAGCACAGAGAAGCACCAGACUGAGCGCGGGAAAUGAUAAAGCAAACUGUGGACUUGAAUGAAAGGCAUACAGGUAUUCUUUGUAUAUUUUAUAGUUAGCUUCUGAGUCUGAAAUUAUUUCCCAAAUAAAAAGUUAAAAACAAAUCUCUAUUGAA